rnacentral:piRNA from 1 species
UACUGUGAAUCCAUCAGUCGUGGCGGC